rnacentral:rRNA from 1 species
UACGUAGGGACCAAGCGUUGUUCGGAUUUACUGGGCGUAAAGGGCGCGUAGGCGGCGUGACAAGUCACUUGUGAAAUCUCCGGGCUUAACCCGGAACGGCCAAGUGAUACUGUCGUGCUAGAGUGCAGAAGGGGCAAUCGGAAUUCUUGGUGUAGCGGUGAAAUGCGUAGAUAUCAAAGAGGAACACCUGAGGUGAAGACGGGUUGCUGGGCUGACACUGACGCUGACAGCGCGAAAGCUAGGGGAGCAAACGGG